AUGCAAGUCGAGGGGUAUAGUAGCAAUACUAGAGACCGGCGCACGGGUGCGUAACGCGUAUGCAAUCUACCUUUUGCAGAGGGAUAGCCCAGAGAAAUUUGGAUUAAUACCUCAUAGUAUAGUACAAUCGCAUGAUUGAACUAUUAAAGUCACAACGGCAAAAGAUGAGCAUGCGUCCCAUUAGUUAGUUGGUAAGGUAACGGCUUACCAAGACUACGAUGGGUAGGGGUCCUGAGAGGGAGAUCCCCCACACUGGUACUGAGACACGGACCAGACUCCUACGGGAGGCAGCAGUGAGGAAUAUUGGACAAUGGGCGCAAGCCUGAUCCAGCCAUGCCGCGUGCAGGAUGACGGUCCUAUGGAUUGUAAACUGCUUUUGCACAGGAAGAAACACCCCCUCGUGAGGGGGCUUGACGGUACUGUGAGAAUAAGGAUCGGCUAACUCCGUGCCAGCAGCCGCGGUAAUACGGAGGAUCCAAGCGUUAUCCGGAAUCAUUGGGUUUAAAGGGUCCGUAGGCGGUCUUAUAAGUCAGUGGUGAAAUCUCCCCGCUCAACGGGGAAACGGCCAUUGAUACUGUAAGACUUGAAUUAUUAGGAAGUAACUAGAAUAUGUAGUGUAGCGGUGAAAUGCUUAGAGAUUACAUGGAAUACCAAUUGCGAAGGCAGGUUACUACUAAUGGAUUGACGCUGAUGGACGAAAGCGUGGGUAGCGAACAGGAUUAGAUACCCUGGUAGUCCACGCCGUAAACGAUGGAUACUAGCUGUUGGGAGCAAUCUCAGUGGCUAAGCGAAGGUGAUAAGUAUCCCACCUGGGGAGUACGUUCGCAAGAAUGAAACUCAAAGGAAUUGACGGGGGCCCGCACAAGCGGUGGAGCAUG
rnacentral:rRNA from 1 species